ACACAGAUGUGCUUGUGUGCGGUCCCCUACAAAACCAGCAGAGGAUGGCGCUAUGCAUGGGUCGAAUUUUGAACCGGAGCAAUAGGGAAGCUCACUAUAUAAAGGGAGAAGCUGGAAAAAAACAUCAAGAUUAAAACAACAGGGUGAAAAGUAUAAACAGUCGCUAAAACUUUUCAUUUUUUAAAGACUUGGUUUCACUUCAGAUAUGACUUUGGUCUCCUGAGCUGUUGACUGGAGGAUAAAAAGCAGAGCUAGCAUGGGCAGCUCACAGACCUAUUCUUCCACAUAUUUUUGAGACUGCCCCCUGGUCACUGCCUGGUCAAAAUGGAGAUUUUUUUUUUAACAGUGAAAGGAAACCCUGGUGUUUGUUAGCUCAAACAUGUUAGCCCUACCCGAAAAAUUGACGGAAUUUGUUGCUUAGGUUUGUCACAUAUGGUUGUCUGCUUCUUGUGGCGUGACUGUUAUAUUUCUCACAUUUCUUCGUGCAUGUCAUGGUCCCCGUGCCUCGCCGGCUGACCCCGUGCUAGGCAACAUGUUUUAUUUUGUUUUUUGCUCCCUCUCUCUCUCUCCUCUGCUGGGGCGGUGCUCAUUAUGGGCUCCCGCCCCUGGCCCACGCACCUGUGUUCAAUCACCACACCUGCUGCUGAUCCCCAGUAAUCCUGAGUUCUACUUAAGACGAUGGUCCUACGUUACUCAUCGCUGGAUCAUUGAGCAAUCUGCAUCUUUCCUGGACCUGUCCCUGCAAACCUGAAAACCCCACAAACGAGUGUGGGGAAGGAUGAGAGGCUGCAGGGGAGAGUGGAGGGUAAUUUUGAGAGGAGUGGAGCGUGUUUGGAUCCCUUCCUUUUCCCCACGGUCCACACCUGAGUCCUUUUAGGGACUCUGACAGUGCAUUUUUUUUAAAUUCAUGUGGAUAAGUUAAUACAGCCGAAUACCGUAUUGUCAGAAGAGCUCUUUAGCUGAGCACAAUCAUAAAAAAAACAUGUAAUUUAAACAAAAUACAAACCCUAAAACAAUAGACGAACUCUACAGAGCAGCCAGUGACAUAAAUGAGAGCGUACGUCCAUUCUAGUGGAAUCUGCCAGCAGACCGGGUGCCAGCUGUUUGGCUCUGGAAUAAUCUAGGUUAAGAUGUUUAGUCCCAUUUUCUCCUCUAAGCCCUUGACAGCUCUUUUCUUUUUCUCCUUCUGUCAAAGUCCUUUCGGCACCACAUUUCCACUCACAAGUAUUAGCAUUUAAGUUAAACUGCCACGAGAGUUUAACAACUUGAGGAUCUGUUGAGGACUCUGAAGGAUACUAUCAAAAUAAAAUGCAUUAAUCCUUUUUUAAGCAUGUUUAUUCUCGCCAUUUAGAGAUGAUAUAAUAACCAAAUUAUCUUGUGUAAUAGAUACAAAUAAAGACACACAAAGAUAAAUCCAAUCAAUAGGUCUUUUUAGACGUGCUGUAAAGUCAGAAAUUUAAACCUAUAUCACAUAUUGAUGCUCCUGAUAGCUUCAGCCUAAUGUAAUGUGAUAGUAAGAGUGUGGUGCAUUCAUAGUAAAAAGAAAACAGUUAAUUAUCAGUAUAUAUUAGUACAUUUAAGGUCCAUUAUUCUGAAGUAAGAAAGAUUAUUCACAACUGCAAGGUUCAAGAAUGUUAGAGCCAUGUUUGGCUCUAAUGCACAGCACCAGCAAAGCGCUACAAAACACCUCAUAGUAAGCACGGUGCUGGAAAGGUGACGGUUUCUUUUGCAGCCACAGGACCUGGGCAUCUCGUGGUUGACCAUGAAGUCCCCUGAAUUACCCAAGUAUUCUAGAGUCAAAUGUGAGGCCGUCUGUCCAACAGCUAAGUCUGGGCCAAAACUGGGUCAUGCAACAUGACAAUGAUCCCAAGCAUAGCAGCAAAUCUACAAAAAAUGGCUGAAAAAAAGAAAAGAAUCAAAGAGUUGGAAUGACCCUAUAAAGCUCCAGAUUAUGACAGGACCUUAAGAGAGCUGUACAUGAACCUCAGUGAACUGAAGCAGUGCUGCAAAGAAGAGUGGGCGAACUGAGCGACUGAUAUAGUCACACAGAAAGUCAUUACUUCAAAUUCCUUCAUGUUAUAGCUAGUAAAAGUGGGGUGUACUUAAUUUUUCAAACACUGCUUUUGUAUUUUGGCCUAAUUUUGACAUUCUGUAAUAUGCCAUCUUUUGGAGUUCACCUGAGACUGUAUUCACCUAAUUUUAAGGCCUUUUGAGGACCCUGUUGUUUUUCUUAUUUUUUCUUAUUUUUUUUUUUUUUGGCUUGGAACAACAGGCAUGUCACCUUUCACUCUAUACAAAGGUCUAGGUGUGUGUGGGUGCAUGUGUGCCGCAAGAUGCUUCAGCAUGUGGGAGAGCUGACCCUGCCCCUUGCAGAAAGGAACUGAGAGAAAUUUUUCUUCUGGACUGGAAAUAACAAAAACGCAUCCCAGAAAAAGGUCUUUUGCAAAUUAGAAUACCAUUAGAUGGUAUUACUGUAUACAUAUGUUGCUAUUUAAGGUAAUAUUCGUGAGAGCUGAAGAGAAAAGUACCGUUAGUGUCACUGGUCAGAUUUGUGCAGUCAUAUGCAAAUAUUUCAGAAUAAGACUAAGUAAGAGUUCCAUCACAGUAACUGGGAGUGCUCAUUCAGGUGUGAAGCUGACAGGUUCAGAUGCAGUAAUACUAACAGAAAAGAGUGCAUGUCAGUGCAUGUGACAGGGUGCCUGUCACAGACCAGCCAAACAAUCGGUGUGUUCUGCUAUUACCAUUUUAUUUCAGAGUUGUGUUAUUCCUCACAGAAAAUGCACUGCCUCCUCGUGUUUUAGGAAUGCUAAUGGGGUUCUGCUGCAGGGAUUUAAGUUAAGAGCAGUUAUGUGUGGCUUCAAAGGAACACAAAUGAAUGCUGGAGCCAGAGUAAGGAGUAUUUUAAAAGUAAGGAGAAAAUCUGUUCCGAUAUCAACUUUAAUCCAGUAAAAAGAGACUUAAUCCUGGGUGAUGUCAUGCCUACAAGGUUCGCUACAAGGUUGACAAAGCGAGGACUGCUGUGUUAUUAACAUGCCGAGUGCCAGUAAGACUGAAGUCAAAGAUAGCAAACUCUCUUUACAGAGGCACACUUUAUGUGUAUGAAUGCACUCCUGCAAACAUGCGUACCUAUUGUGCUGUAUCUUGCAGUAGGUUUCAGGAUUGGUGGUGGUAGGGGGUGGAGUAGUGACUGUAUAGCCAUAGGGCACUAUGAAACGCUUUCUAUGGCCAUUUCCACUGUGGUAUAAAGAGCAGCACCAUCUGUGAGUAGCUCUCUAAUGAGCAGUUUAAUAGGCUUGGAACCAUGUGGCUUUCUCUAGAUGCCUCCACGUGUGUGUGUGUGUGUGUGUGUGUCUCACAUACUUGCACAUGUGCAGAUGUUGACACCAGCUCUGACAUGACCAAUAUUAGUUACUAUGUGAAAAAUUUCUUCCAUUGUUUCACACACUGUCUGUUUGAUGCUUUAUCAUUUUGUCUUUUUGCCUCACACACACACACACACACACACACACACACACACACACACACCCCCGUCAUGGUCCUAGGAUUUUUGUUGCCAUUGUGUUUUGAAAUUUUCAUGAAUUUAUUUGAGAUUGGGCAUCCUCCAACUUUUAAUUUCUGUAUUUUUUUUUUUAUUGUUGUUUAUUUUUAAUCUAGCAGAUUAUCUGCUUUAUGUCCCAUGACACCCCUGACCUGUGUUGGUUAUUUUAGCGAUGAGUUUUAGUUUUGCAUUCAGUGUUUUGGUUCAUGUCCCAGUUUAGUUGUUGUAGUACAGGUUUAAGUGUUUCCCUAUUUCGUCCUCCCUCUGUCUUCUCUUUCCUCUCCUCCAGUGUUCUCUUCUCUCUGUUUAAUGUGAGACUUCUUGUGUCCAUCUUCAGGACAUUUCCUUUGGCUUCUUCUCUGUCUCGUACCUGUUAAGUGUUUGUCAUCAUGUGGAUUUUCGGUUUCCUUUGGUUAUUUCCUGUUUUAAUUUGAAGGUUUGUUUCUUUCAUGGCCUGUGUUAGUUUUACUUCCUCUUGUCGGUCUUCCCCGAUUAUUCUCACGUGUUAAUUGUGUUUAGUGGUGCCUCAUUCCCCACCUGUCACCUGUUGUCUAAUCAGCCCUCUGUGUAUAUACAGCCUUGUCUCACGUUUGUCUGUUUGCAGUGUCUGAUAUGUUUCCCUGUGUUGUCCUCCAACAGCUCCUGUGGUUUUGGGGCUUUGUUAACAGCUUAAAUAAAGGCUUGCCUUUUAUUAUUUCA